GGGNUAAUACCGAACCAUUUAGGAUUUCCUGGGAUUGUUAUUCCAAUGAAAGUUCAUGCCCCUAAGGAUGGAUCUCCAGCUAAUUAGGUAGUUGGUGGGGUAAUGCCCCACCAAGCAUUUGAUUUAUACGUACUGUGAGAGCAAGAGCCCGCAGAUAGAACAUUAGACAAAGUUCCAUGCCCUACGGGGCGCAGCAGGCGGGAAACCUCACCUAUGCAUGAAAGUGCGACGGGGGAACCCCAAGUGCCAUUCUUAACGGGAUGGCUUUUUAUGAGUGUAAAAAACACUGAGAGUAAGAGCUGGGCAAGACCGGUGCCAGCCGCCGCGGUAACACCGGCAGCUCGAGUGGUGGCCAUUUUUAUUGGGCUUAAAGCGUUCGUAGCCGGCUUGAUAAGUCUCUGGUGAAAUCCCAUAGCUUAACCUGUGGGAAUUGUUAGAGAUACUAUCAGUCUUGAGACCGGGAGAGGUUAGGGGUACUCCCAGGGUAGGGGUGAAAUCCUAUAAUCCUUGGGAGGACCACCUGUGGCGAAGGCGCCUCACCUAGAACGGACCUGACGGUGAGUGACGAAAGCCAGGGGCGCGAACCGGAUUAGAUACCCGGGUAGUCCUGGCCGUAAACGAUGCGGACUUGGUGUAUGGAUGACUUCGAGUUGUUCCAGUGCCGAAGGGAAGCUGUGAAAUCCACCGCCUGGGAAGUACGGUCGCAAGACUGAAACUUAA
rnacentral:rRNA from 1 species